rnacentral:lncRNA from 1 species
AUUAAUAGAAAUGAUUAGGCAUAAUUACUUUUAAAAUUUGUCAAUGUGGAAAAUGACCCCUGAAAUUAUGCAUUGCCUUGAGAAAUCAAAGUAGAAUCAUGUAAGAUUUGUUUGUCUGUGCAUCUCUGUGUUCUCAUGCGGCAAUGAAGUGAAAGGUGUGGGUAUCACUAUUUUUCGAAAUAAUUAAAGACCCCCAAACAGCACCUUGUUAUUCUUAGCAUCUUUUCCCAACUCAAAGAGACAAUCAAACUCAGCU